CCUGGCUUCACCUGAACGUUUUUAUUCCCGUUGAUUUUUACGUAACACUCUGUAGAAAGUGGCUGCAGCCAGAAGAACACGAAGUCGCCAUCAGCACCGGGUUACUCAAGAGAACUGAGGAACCCCUCCAGUGAGUUUCAUAAUUAGGUUGUGUAAGGGCACGUUACGUAUGAGGGCUUUAGAAGCCAGCGGGCUACAAAUGCAGUUCCUUGCCGCACUGAAAACAUUGAUUUAACCGCCAACUCGGACUGUGAACCAACCAUGAAAACGAACAGGGAGAAAGUAAUUGGAAGUCAAGUCAUUUCAGCCGAACUUGUGGCUGGACUACUACUCAGCAUAGCGUAUAGGAUGUGUUCCAGUUUGGCUUUUUCUUCAGAGGCCUUCCUUUCACUGUUGGGAGUCUGCAGAGAGGCGCACGUUCAAGGAACAGACUGCAGACAUCUUCCCAUGGUGGACGUGGCAGUGUUCUUAUUCUUUCUCCUAAGCAGUUUGAUUCUUUUGAUCUUGGAUCACAAUCAGUUGAAAGGCUCUUUGAAACGAUCUGAACUGCUCACUAAGCCCCAGAGGUUUUUCCUUCAAAUAGAUUUUUUUGCCAACUUCAUUUGUGGCCUCAUGUGGUUGGUUUUUCCAGGAUGGCUUCUUGGGUCACAGAUUACUGGAUCUGAGGAUUAUCUUUAUCUCACUCGGGCAUUUGGAGCUAUGAUGGUUGGAGACAGCUUUGUUUCUUUUACCACUCAGAAACAAAUGGGAACCAAUGAGGUAUCUGUCUUCAGCAGCCGGGCUGUGGGAACUUCGGCGGUUGUCAUCUUCAUGAUCCACACCCAGCUCACCACAUCGGCAUGGAAAACCCCACAUCUCUGUUUGGGUCUAGUAGGGGUCAGCCUCUGGGCUGGAAACUCCAUCCUGGGCUACCUGAGCUCCAAAGACACGACGACAGAGUCAGUGAAUGAUAUAUACUGGCGUGCUGUACAGAAAAAAGACAGAAGACUUUAUGUACAAUAGAUAUUUUGUCAUAUGCAUAUAUAUUAUAACAUCAUUGUGUGCAUUUCAGUGCUUUAUGAUGUUUUUGACAAACUAUACUGUAAAUAUAGUUGUUUUAUGAAU
rnacentral:lncRNA from 1 species